rnacentral:precursor_RNA from 1 species
UGAGCAGGCUCAUUGUCUCGCAUUGGGUUGUCCACUGCGAGACAAUGAGCCUGCUCAAU